CGGGACGGGUGAGUAAUGUCUGGGAAAUUGCCUGAUGGAGGGGGGUAACUACUGGAAACGGUAGCUAAUACCGCAUAACGUCGCAAGACCAAAGAGGGGGACCUUCGGGCCUCUUGCCAUCGGAUGUGCCCAGAUGGGAUUAGCUAGUAGGUGGGGUAACGGCUCACCUAGGCGACGAUCCCUAGCUGGUCUGAGAGGAUGACCAGCCACACUGGAACUGAGACACGGUCCAG
rnacentral:rRNA from 1 species